rnacentral:sRNA from 1 species
CCGGGACCUACAACUGAGUCUGAGCUGAACCCGGAAGGCCCCCGCAUCCUCGGAUGCGGGGGCCUUCCUCG